rnacentral:rRNA from 1 species
AUGCUCGUUUCAUGCAUUGCUUCACAUCACCAAAUUAUUGGUUCGACUGAGGUAUCAGGAAUUUGCAGGGAAUUUUACAUGAUUUUCGGCACAAAUCUGAAUUUGUCCAGAUCCCGACUCCUCAUGUCCUUCACACUCCUUGGAUUCACUGGAGUCUGGACACCGGAGGUGUGCAAAAGCCCCGGUGUCAGUUUGUUCAAAGAUGGAGUCAGAAGGAAGACCCUGUUUUCAAAUCUUAGCUCCGCCACUGAUAGGUGGGGUGCCGGCCGAGGAGGCAACAUCCACUUCUUCUGUGGACAAGGCCGGAGAUCCCGAGAGCAUCAGCAGAAUAGGAGGAGGAGGCAUAGGAGGCUGAGAGGGGUGACAUGGAGCAUGAGAUGGUGCCCUCGCUGCAAGAGAGGGAGCCCUGCCAAUAGUUGUUGUGGGCUUGUGGCACUGGCCACACGCAGCGCAUCACCAACCAUGAUCGUCCAGGCUGUGGCAUGGGGGUCGUGCUUGCUGCUGGUCCAAAGAUUCCCCCACCCUGAUGAUAAGGCCUCAUCCAUUCAAUUUUGA